rnacentral:rRNA from 1 species
UACGUAGGUGACAAGCGUUGUCCGGAUUUACUGGGCGUAAAGAGCGCGCAGGCGGCUGGUCAAGUCCGAUGUGAAAGCUCCCGGCUUAACUGGGAAAUUGCAUCGGAAACUGAUCGGCUGGAAGGUGGGAGAGGGUAGCGGAAUUCCCGGUGUAGUGGUGAAAUGCGUAGAUAUCGGGAGGAACACCAGUGGCGAAAGCAGCUCGCUGGGACGUAACUGACGCUGAGACGCGAAAGCGUGGGGAGCAAACAGG